GAUGAACGCUGACAGAAUGCUUAACACAUGCAAGUCUUUGGCGAAGCUGUGCUUGCACAGCCUAGCCAAGGCGGACGGGUGAGUAACGCGUAAGGAACUUGCCCUGCAGUCAGGGAUAACAGACGGAAACGACUGAUAAGACCUGGUAAAGUCAGGCGGACUCAUGUCCAGCCUGAUGAAAAGAGAUGCUGCAGGAGAGCCUUGCGUCCUAUUAGCUUGUUGGUGGGGUAACGGCCCACCAAGGCGAUGAUAGGUAGCCGGCCUGAGAGGGUGGACGGCCACAAGGAGACUGAGAUACGGCCCUUACUCCUACGGGAGGCAGCAGUGGGGAAUAUUGGACAAUGGGGGCAACCCUGAUCCAGCAAUUCUGUGUGCACGAUGAAGGUUUUCGGAUUGUAAAGUGCUUUCAGCAGGGAAGAAAAAAAUGACGGUACCUGCAGAAGAAGCGACGGCUAAAUACGUG
rnacentral:rRNA from 1 species